rnacentral:rRNA from 1 species
UACGUAGGGGGCUAGCGUUAUCCGGAAUUACUGGGCGUAAAGGGUGCGUAGGUGGUUUCUUAAGUCAGAAGUGAAAGGCUACGGCUCAACCGUAGUAAGCUUUUGAAACUAAGAGACUUGAGUGCAGGAGAGGAGAGUAGAAUUCCUAGCGUAGCGGUGAAAUGCGUAGAUAUUAGGAGGAAUACCAGUUGCGAAGGCGGCUCUCUGGACUGUAACUGACACUGAGGCACGAAAGCGUGGGGAGCAAACAGG